rnacentral:rRNA from 1 species
AAAUUGAAGAGUUUGAUCAUGGCUCAGAUUGAACGCUGGCGGCAGGCCUAACACAUGCAAGUCGAACGGUAACAGAAAGCAGCUUGCUGCUUUGCUGACGAGUGGCGGACGGGUGAGUAAUGUCUGGGAAACUGCCUGAUGGAGGGGGAUAACUACUGGAAACGGUAGCUAAUACCGCAUAACGUCGCAAGACCAAAGAGGGGGACCUUAGGGCCUCUUGCCAUCGGAUGUGCCCAGAUGGGAUUAGCUAGUAGGUGGGGUAAAGGCUCACCUAGGCGACGAUCCCUAGCUGGUCUGAGAGGAUGACCAGCCACACUGGAACUGAGACACGGUCCAGACUCCUACGGGAGGCAGCAGUGGGGAAUAUUGCACAAUGGGCGCAAGCCUGAUGCAGCCAUGCCGCGUGUAUGAAGAAGGCCUUCGGGUUGUAAAGUACUUUCAGCGGGGAGGAAGGGAGUAAAGUUAAUACCUUUGCUCAUUGACGUUACCCGCAGAAGAAGCACCGGCUAACUCCGUGCCAGCAGCCGCGGUAAUACGGAGGGUGCAAGCGUUAAUCGGAAUUACUGGGCGUAAAGCGCACGCAGGCGGUUUGUUAAGUCAGAUGUGAAAUCCCCGGGCUCAACCUGGGAACUGCAUCUGAUACUGGCAAGCUUGAGUCUCGUAGAGGGGGGUAGAAUUCCAGGUGUAGCGGUGAAAUGCGUAGAGAUCUGGAGGAAUACCGGUGGCGAAGGCGGCCCCCUGGACGAAGACUGACGCUCAGGUGCGAAAGCGUGGGGAGCAAACAGGAUUAGAUACCCUGGUAGUCCACGCCGUAAACGAUGUCGACUUGGAGGUUGUGCCCUUGAGGCGUGGCUUCCGGAGCUAACGCGUUAAGUCGACCGCCUGGGGAGUACGGCCGCAAGGUUAAAACUCAAAUGAAUUGACGGGGGCCCGCACAAGCGGUGGAGCAUGUGGUUUAAUUCGAUGCAACGCGAAGAACCUUACCUGGUCUUGACAUCCACGGAAGUUUUCAGAGAUGAGAAUGUGCCUUCGGGAACCGUGAGACAGGUGCUGCAUGGCUGUCGUCAGCUCGUGUUGUGAAAUGUUGGGUUAAGUCCCGCAACGAGCGCAACCCUUAUCCUUUGUUGCCAGCGGUCCGGCCGGGAACUCAAAGGAGACUGCCAGUGAUAAACUGGAGGAAGGUGGGGAUGACGUCAAGUCAUCAUGGCCCUUACGACCAGGGCUACACACGUGCUACAAUGGCGCAUACAAAGAGAAGCGACCUCGCGAGAGCAAGCGGACCUCAUAAAGUGCGUCGUAGUCCGGAUUGGAGUCUGCAACUCGACUCCAUGAAGUCGGAAUCGCUAGUAAUCGUGGAUCAGAAUGCCACGGUGAAUACGUUCCCGGGCCUUGUACACACCGCCCGUCACACCAUGGGAGUGGGUUGCAAAAGAAGUAGGUAGCUUAACCUUCGGGAGGGCGCUUACCACUUUGUGAUUCAUGACUGGGGUGAAGUCGUAACAAGGUAACCGUAGGGGAACCUGCGGUUGGAUCACCUCCUUA